UCAAGGACAAAUUCCUGAAUGCAACAUUUGCUUUUCCGUCUUCCCGCUUCACCUCACUCAUCCCUGCAGAAGUACAAGUAUUCCUGGCUUCUUCAAGUCUACGCCUAAGAAUUAAGAGCCUUGGGGAGAAGGGCACUGCAUCGACCACUGCAUCUCAAUCAUUGUGGCAGACGUACCACAGCACUGGGAAGCUGGCCUUGGCAAGAAUCUCAGGCUAUUACUACAGAGUUGGGAAGAAGGUUUAGGAUCAAGAUAGAGGUGACUGACCAAGCCAACAGAUAGUCCUUGAACCAAAAGGAAUUAUGAGAACUCUGCUUAUUUUUGGAAACAUGAAGAAUGAUGAAACCUGUUCAGCAAUGCAUAUUCAUCGGACUGCAGAGGUUUAAUGACAUCAGGGAACCAAACGGAUAAUCCAUAGUACCUGCAAAGACAAAGAAAUCAGCAGAAAUGGAGUAAGACAUCUGACAUCCUGGCCCCAAUAUCUUUCUCAUCAUUCCAGUCUGCUCUGAGAAACUCUCUCUCCUAGUCUGGUGGUACAAACUCCUGGGA
rnacentral:lncRNA from 1 species